AUUGAACGCUGGCGGCAUGCCUUACACAUGCAAGUCGAACGGCAGCACGGGUGCUUGCACCUGGUGGCGAGUGGCGAACGGGUGAGUAAUACAUCGGAACAUGUCCUGUAGCGGGGGAUAGCCCGGCGAAAGCCGGAUUAAUACCGCAUACGAUCUACGGAUGAAAGCGGGGGACCUUCGGGCCUCGCGCUAUAGGGUUGGCCGAUGGCUGAUUAGCUAGUUGGUGGGGUAAAGGCCUACCAAGGCGACGAUCAGUAGCUGGUCUGAGAGGACGACCAGCCACCCGGGGGCUGAGCCACGGCCCAGACCCCUAGGGGGGGCAGCAGGGGGAAAUUUUGGAAAAGGGGCGAAAGCCUGACCCAGAAAUGCCGCGUGUGUGAAGAAGGCCUUCGGGUUGUAAAGCACUUUUGCCCGGAAAGAAAUCCUUGGCCCUAAUACGGUGGGGGGAUGACGGUACCGGAAGAAUAAGCCCCGGCUACCUACGU
rnacentral:rRNA from 1 species